CAAUAGCGUAUAUUUAAGUUGUUGCAGUUAAAAAGCUCGUAGUUGGAUUUCGGAUGGGACUUGCCGGUCCGUCGUUUCGAUGUGCACUGGCCAGUCCUAUCUUGUUGUCGGGGACUAGCUCCUGGGCUUCACUGUCCUGGACUAGGAGCUGACGAGGUUACUUUGAGUAAAUUAGAGUGUUCAAAGCAAGCCUACGCUCUGAAUACAUUAGCAUGGAAUAACACGAUAGGACUCUGGCUUAUCUUGUUGGUCUGUGAGACCAGAGUAAUGAUUAAGAGGGACAGUCGGGGGCAUUCGUAUUUCAUUGUCAGAGGUGAAAUUCUUGGAUUUAUGAAAGACGAACUUCUGCGAAAGCAUUUGUCAAGGAUGUUUUCAUUAA
rnacentral:rRNA from 1 species